GACGUGACUUCAGAGUUUGAUCCUGGCUCAGGACGAACGCUGGCGGCGUGCCUAACACAUGCAAGUCGAACGGGACAGAGAGCUUCGGUUCUCUGUUUAGUGGCGAACGGGUGAGUAACGCGUGAGGAACCUGCCUUCCAGUGGGGGACAACAGUUGGAAACGACUGCUAAUACCGCAUGACAUAUCCGAAGGGCAUCCUUUGGAUAUCAAAGCUUUAUGUGCUGGAAGAUGGCCUCGCGUCUGAUUAGAUAGUUGGUGGGGUAACGGCCUACCAAGUCGACGAUCAGUAGCCGGUCUGAGAGGAUGAACGGCCACAUUGGGACUGAGAUACGGCCCAG
rnacentral:rRNA from 1 species